UACGUAGGUGGCAAGCGUUGUCCGGAAUUAUUGGGCGUAAAGAGCGUGUAGGCGGCCAGAUAGGUCUGCUGUGAAAACUCGAGGCUCAACCUCGAGAUGUCGGCGGAAACCAUUUGGCUAGAGUCCGGAAGAGGAAAGUGGAAUUCCUGGUGUAGCGGUGAAAUGCGCAGAUAUCAGGAAGAACACCCGUGGCGAAGGCGGCUUUCUGGGACGGUACUGACGCUGAGACGCGAAAGCGUGGGGAGCGAACAGG
rnacentral:rRNA from 1 species